rnacentral:rRNA from 1 species
UACGUAGGGGGCUAGCGUUGUCCGGAUUUAUUGGGCGUAAAGAGCGUGUAGGCGGCCAGGUAGGUCUGCUGUGAAAACUCGAGGCUUAACCUCGAGAUGUCGGCGGAAACCAUCUGGCUAGAGUCCGGAAGAGGAGAGUGGAAUUCCUGGUGUAGCGGUGAAAUGCGCAGAUAUCAGGAGGAACACCUGCGGUGUAGACGGCUUACUGGACCAUAACUGACGCUGAGGCACGAAAGCGUGGGUAGCAAACAGG